rnacentral:rRNA from 1 species
CCUACGGGUGGCAGCAGUGAGGAAUAUUGGUCAAUGGACGAGAGUCUGAACCAGCCAAGUAGCGUGAAGGAUGACUGCCCUAUGGGUUGUAAACUUCUUUUAUAUGGGAAUAAAAUGUUCCACGUGUGGGAUUUUGUAUGUACCAUAUGAAUAAGGAUCGGCUAACUCCGUGCCAGCAGCCGCGGUAAUACGGAGGAUCCGAGCGUUAUCCGGAAUUAUUGGGUUUAAAGGGAGCGUAGGUGGAUUGUUAAGUCAGUUGUGAAAGUUUGCGGCUCAACCGUAAAAUUGCAGUUGAAACUGGCAGUCUUGAGUACAGUAGAGGUGGGCGGAAUUCGUGGUGUAGCGGUGAAAUGCUUAGAUAUCACGAAGAACUCCGAUUGCGAAGGCAGUUCACUGGACUGCAACUGACACUGAGGCUCGAAAGUGUGGGUAUCAAACAGGAUUAGAUACCCGAGUAGUC